rnacentral:rRNA from 1 species
UACGGAGGGUGCAAGCGUUAUCCGGAUUUACUGGGUUUAAAGGGUGCGUAGGUGGACAGGAAAGUCAGUGGUGAAAUCUUCGAGCUUAACUCGGAAACUGCCAUUGAUACUAUUUGUCUUGAAUACUUUGGAGGUAAGCGGAAUAUGUCAUGUUGCUGUGAAAUGCUUAGAUAUGACAUAGAACACCAAUUGCGAAGGCAGCUUACUUCCCAGUUAUUGACACUGAGGCACGAAAGCGUGUGGAUCAAACAGG